UACGAAGGGGGCUAGCGUUGCUCGGAAUCACUGGGUUUAAAGGGAGCGUAGGUGGCUUUGUAAGUCAGUGAUGAAAUCUUAGAGCUUAACUCUAAAACUGCCAUUGAUACUGCUUAGCUUGAAUCACGUCGAGGUGGAUGGAAUAUUACAUGUAGCGGUGAAAUGCUUAGAUAUGUAAUAGAACACCGAUUGCGAAGGCAGUUCACUAGGCGUGUAUUGACACUGAGGCUCGAAAGCGUGGGGAUCAAACAGG
rnacentral:rRNA from 1 species